UACGAAGGGGGCUAGCGUUGUUCGGAAUCACUGGGUUUAAAGGGAGCGCAGGCGGGCUGGUAAGUCAGUGGUGAAAGCCUUGAGCUUAACUCGAGAACUGCCAUUGAUACUAUCAGUCUUGAAUAUUGUUGAGGUUUGCGGAAUGGGUCAUGUAGCGGUGAAAUGCAUAGAUAUGACCCGGAACACCUAUUGCGAAGGCAGCAGGCUAAACAAAGAUUGACGCUGAGGCUUGAAAGCGUGGGGAUCAAACAGG
rnacentral:rRNA from 1 species